AUGGGAUACAUAUCUCUAUCGCCGCCAUUGCGCGUUCUUGGAACGAGCGCGACGGUGACAUUGCGGUGUGCGGCCUCUCGGACGAGAAGACUGGGCUUACGUUGGAUGCAAGUUAUUGUCGUCCGGCAAGGUUUUAAAAAGUGAUGUUAUAGCUACUGGACAUUGAAGCGAUUGAAGACCAGAAAGCCUUAGUGCGACCGGUUUGAUUCAGAUUACUCCCCGAGAGCGACACUCGUUCAGGAUGCGAGUAUUUGAAGUUCCGCUUUCAAGCAUUGGACGGCCUGCAAAUUACCAUUGGAGCCAAACUGUAUACAUUUUCUAGAUGAUCUUAAAUACGGAGCGGUAUUCUAAAGAUGUAGUUGUGCAGUGUGUAGUUCGUAGAUUACGAAACAACGGAGCGAGAAUACAGUUGGCGUUCCGUUUUGGGUCAGUUAUUUUGUUUUCCUUUUUCCAUGUUUUAAAGUCGCUGUGCUUUAUGCUCAGGAUCGAAGCAAAAUGUACAGGAGUAGGCUGCGAUGUGAUGCGUGUUGUAUAAAACCAAUAAACCAAAAAUGGCA